rnacentral:rRNA from 1 species
ACAUGUCCUUUAGUUUUAUUUAUUUAAGGUCUGUCCUGCUCUAUGAUUAAUAUUUAAUGGCCGCAGUAUAUUAACUGUGCUAAGGUAGCAUAAUCAAUUGUCCUUUAAUUGUGGGCUAGAAUGAAUGGUUGAAUGAGGCAUUAUCUUUCUUUUUAUUUAUUUUUUGAAUUUAACUUUUAAGUUAAAAGGCUUAUAUUUUAUUAAGGGACGAGAAGACCCUAUAGAUUUUAAUUAGUUAUUAUUUUAAUUUUAUUUAUUGUUUAAAUUUAAUGGUCUAUUUAAUAAUUAAUUUAGUUGGGGUGAUUUUAGAAUUAUAUUAACUUCUAUUUUUAAUUUUUCAUUAAUUUAUGUUUAUUUGAUCCAUUAUUAUUGAUUAUAAGAUUAAAUUACCUUAGGGAUAACAGCGUAAUUUUUUCGGAGAGUUCUUAUUGAUGAAAAAGUUUGCGACCUCGAUGUUGGAUUAAAAUUAGUAAAGGGUGUAGCAGUUCAUUAACUAGGUCUGUUCGACCUUUAAAAUUUUACAUG